rnacentral:rRNA from 1 species
GACGAACGCUGGCGGCGUGCUUAACACAUGCAAGUCGAACGGAAAGGCCCUGCUUUUGUGGGGUGCUCGAGUGGCGAACGGGUGAGUAACACGUGAGUAACCUGCCCUUGACUUUGGGAUAACUUCAGGAAACUUGGGCUAAUACCGGAUAGGAGCUCCUGCUGCAUGGCGGGGGUUGGAAAGUUUCGGCGGUUGGGGAUGGACUCGCGGCUUAUCAGCUUGUUGGUGGGGUAGUGGCUUACCAAGUCUUUGACGGGUAGCCGGCCUGAGAGGGUGACCGACCACAUUGUGACUCAGAUACCGCCCAGACUCCAACGGAAGGCAGCAGUGGGGAAUAUUGCACAAUGGGCGGAAGCCUGAUGCAGCAACGCCGCGUGCGGGAUGACGGCCUUCGGGUUGUAAACCGCUUUCGCCUGUGACGAAGCGUGAGUGACGGUAAUGGGUAAAGAAGCACCGGCUAACUACGUG